AUUGAACGCUGGCGGCAGGCCUAACACAUGCAAGUCGAACGAGUGGCGGACGGGUGAGUAAUGUCUGGGAAACUGCCUGAUGGAGGGUGAUAACUACUGGAAACGGUAGCUAAUACCGCAUACCAUCAGAUGUUCCCAGAUGGGAUUGGCUAGUUGGUGGGGUAACGGCUCACCAAGGCAACGAUCCCUAGCUGGUCUGAGAGGAUGACCAGCCAAACGGGAACUGAGACACGGUCCAGACUCCUACGGGAGGCAGCAGUGGGGAAUAUUGCACAAGGGGCGCAAGCCUGAUGCAGCCAUGCCGCGUGGAUGAAGAAGGCCUUCGGGUUGUAAAGUACUUUCAGCGGGGAGGCGUUACCCGAAGAAGAAGCACCGGCUAACUACGUGCCAGCAGCCGCGGUAAUUC
rnacentral:rRNA from 1 species